AAUUGACGGGACCCGCACAAGCGGUGGAUGAUGUGGUUUAAUUCGAUGCAACGACGAAAAACCUUACCCACCUUUGACAUGUACGGAACCCUUUAGAGAUAGAGGGGUGCUCGAAAGAGAGCCGUAACACAGGUGCUGCAUGGCUGUCGUCAGCUCGUGUCGUGAGAUGUUGGGUUAAGUCCCCGCAACGAGCGCAACCCUUGUCAUUAGUUGCUACAUUCAGUUGGGCACUCUAAUGAGACUGCCGGUGACAAGCCGGAGGAAGGUGGGGAUGACGUCAAGUCCUCAUGGCCCUUAUAAGUGGGGCUACACACGUCAUACAAUGGCUGGUACAAAGGGUUGCCAACCCGCGAGGGGGAGCCAAUCCCAUAAAGCCAGUCGUAGUCCGGAUCGUAGUCUGCAACUCGACUACGUGAAGUCGGAAUCGCUAGUAAUCGUGGAUCAGAAUGUCACGGUGAAUACGUUCCCGGGUCUU
rnacentral:rRNA from 1 species